GUGUUUGUGUAUGUGUGUAUUUUUAAAAAAAACUUGCAUUUUCAAUAAUUGAUGCUAAAUUUCAUAAACUGCACUUCCUUAUCUGGUAAAGCUGAUGUUUUGUGCUUAUUAUGAAUUGCUGUAGUUAACUUUGAAUGUCAGACUUUAUUUAGAAAUACAAAACUUAUCCUUUAAGAUACAAAUGGUUGAGUGUGUGUACCCAAUAUUUCAAAUGAAAUUUCACAUGCUAAAUUAGUUAAUGAAGGUAACGAGAUUGUAGUUAAUAUAAAGUCAGUGACCAAAUGCAGUAAAUAUUGGUUGCUCAUAUAUACCAUGAGUAACUUAAAAUUUUUCAUUUACUUUCAAUAGCAUAUAAUUCCUUAAUAAGUGGACUUGACUUUUCUUUCCAGUUAAGCACUUCAGGAUCAUGUCUUGUACUUCCAUCAGAACAAAAAAAUGUAAAAGCAGUGUGUUCAGAAUAAUUCUGAAUUGUGUUUUGGUAGUACCCCCUUUGCCAAACUUUUAUUUAGCUAAUCCUAAGAGCAAUGAAAACAAUACACAAGUGAAAGUACUUUGAAAUUAAAUGAAAACAGUGCUUUUGAAAGGUUGGUCCAUCUAUGACCAUUGAGACAGCCUUUGUGUUACAGCCAAAAUGUUGGUGCUAUAAAUUCUGAUUGUUUACAGAUGUUGAUUCUGCUUAUGCUCCAAACUGCAUGAUGUAUUUUAAGUAGUACUUUGAAGAAGAAAAUAUGAAACCUACUACCACUUAGUUUAAAUUUAUUUGAAUUUGUAUCACUUGUUACUAUAAAUUUAGCUUACUCAAAUUUGGUUCACACUGGAUUUAAACGAACACUAUUCCACCAAAGCUAGUUCAGUGUAUAUGUUGAGAAAUAUAGGGAGUCAUUGUGGCUUGGUGCCAGAUCACAAUGUGUAAUAACAAAUGAAGUUAAUAGGGCCUUCUAAUACUGUAUGGGUACUCUUAAGAAUGAUUUCAUUUGGAUAUAAAAAAGUUGAGGGGCUUCCUGUCAUGUUCACAUCAAGUUCUACAAAAUAAUUUGACAUUUCAAAAACAAAUGAUAAUCAUACGGUUGGAUCCUUCAGGAUUGUGAAUAGAUCUUGUGGUUUUACCAUCGUUGCCAAGUGGUGGGAGGUAGUGUACCUGAAAAUGUAUGUUUGUGUUUGUUGUAUUUUUUCACAUUUUGUGAGCAAAGCACAUUUAUUAAAAAUUUUAAAUUUUCUAGUA
rnacentral:lncRNA from 1 species